AGUGAACGCUGGCGGUAGGCCUAACACAUGCAAGUCGAACGGCAGCACAGUAAGAGCUUGCUCUUACGGGUGGCGAGUGGCGGACGGGUGAGGAAUACAUCGGAAUCUACUUUUUCGUGGGGGAUAACGUAGGGAAACUUACGCUAAUACCGCAUACGACCUACGGGUGAAAGCAGGGGAUCUUCGGACCUUGCGCGAUUGAAUGAGCCGAUGUCGGAUUAGCUAGUUGGCGGGGUAAAGGCCCACCAAGGCGACGAUCCGUAGCUGGUCUGAGAGGAUGAUAAGCCACACUGGAACUGAGACACGGUCAAGACUCCUACGGGAGGCAGCAGUGGGGAAUAUUGGACAAUGGGCGCAAGCCUGAUCCAGCCAUACCGCGUGGGUGAAGAAGGCCUUCGGGUUGUAAAGACCUUUUGUUGGGAAAGAAAAGCAGCAGGUUAAUACCCAGCUGUUCUGACGGUACCCAAAGAAUAAGCACCGGCUAACUACGUG
rnacentral:rRNA from 1 species